CUGCAGCUGGCUUGAGUUGAAUGGCUGGGAGGACAGGGCUCCCAAAGGAAAAACAUCAAAACAUGUUCUGAUGUUCUGUCUCUGUGCGGUGUGCUGGGGAAUGCAUGGGGUUUAAAGUCAGGUAGAUUUGGGCCUGCCACUUUACAUCUGUAGCUGAUGUUUAAAGGAGAUGAUAAAAAUGCUGCAACCCAGAUAAUGAUCACCUUACUCUUCAAAAAUACUGCCCAAGGUACUGCUGAUUAUCAUUACCUCUCUGUAUCUGGUCUCUUUCACUACAUGGUAGGAAAUUAUGUAUGGUGGGUUGAAUGGCUGCCCCUGUCCCGACCCCCUGCACUCCCUCCAUCCCCCAUCUUCCUACCCCCAACAAAAUACGUGUCCAUUUGGACCCUGAGAAUGUGUUCACCUUGAAUCUGUGAAUGUGAGGCAGGAGAAUAGGGUCUGGAGGCUGGGAAUAUAAGGCCAAUUCAUGCUGACUUCCUAGAACUAAAUCAAAUGGAAACACUUCAGCUAUGACAAGAAAAAUCCUCUCUAUUUACAUAGGGAUUACACUGAGUAAAUGACUUUGUAACUUUACUUCAUCCUCUUCAUUUACAUAGGGCAUACACCAAGUAACCAGUGGAAACCUCUAGAUGGUAUUUAAACCCCAGAAAAUUCUGUAAACGGGGGUUUGAGCCCCUAUGCUUGGGCCUGCUCCCACCCUGUGGACUGUAUUUUCAUUUUCAAUAGAUCUCUGCUUUUUUUGCAUCAUUCUUUCCUUGCUUUGUGUGUUUUGUCCAGUUCUUUGUUCAAGAUGCCAAGAACCUGGAUACCCUCCACUGGUAACAAAUAUGACUUUGUUUUUAGCAAGCAACUUUGCAGUGUAAUUAAGUUAAGGAUCUUGAGAUGAGAUCAUCUUGGAAUAUCUGGGUGGGCCCUAAAUCCAAUGACAAGUGUCCUCAUAGGAAGGGAAGAUACACACAGAGGAGAAGGUGGUGUGAAGAUGGAAGCCAAGACUGUUGAUACCAGUUGGAGAGCACCAAGAACUACCCGCAGCCACUGAAAGCUAGGAGAGAGGCAUAGGACUGUCUCCUUCAGACCCUCCAGAAAGACCAAACCUGCCCGUGCCUUGAUUUCAGACUUUUGGCCUCCCACAUUGUGAGAGAAUAAAAUUUUGUUUUUGAAGCCAU
rnacentral:lncRNA from 1 species